rnacentral:rRNA from 1 species
UACAGAGACUGCAAGCGUUAUUCGGAUUCACUGGGCGUAAAGGGUGCGCAGGCGGCCAAGUGUGUGAGGCGUGAAAGCCCGGGGCUUAACCUGGGAACUGCGUCUGAUACUGGGAGGCUUGAGUAUGGGAGAGGGAUGUAGAAUUCCAGGUGUAGCGGUGAAAUGCGUAGAUAUCUGGAGGAAUGCCGGUGGCGAAGGCGGCAUCCUGGACCAUAACUGACGCUGAGGCGCGAAAGCUAGGGGAGCAAACGGG